rnacentral:rRNA from 1 species
GGGGAAUAUUGGACAAUGGGCGCAAGCCUGAUCCAGCCAUGCCGCGUGAGUGAUGAAGGCCCUAGGGUUGUAAAGCUCUUUUGUGCGGGAAGAUAAUGACGGUACCGCAAGAAUAAGCCCGGCUAACUUCGUGCCAGCAGCCGCGGUAAUACGAAGGGGGCUAGCGUUGCUCGGAAUCACUGGGCGUAAAGGGUGCGUAGGCGGGUCUUUAAGUCAGGGGUGAAAUCCUGGAGCUCAACUCCAGAACUGCCUUUGAUACUGAGGAUCUUGAGUUCGGGAGAGGUGAGUGGAACUGCGAGUGUAGAGGUGAAAUUCGUAGAUAUUCGCAAGAACACCAGUGGCGAAGGCGGCUCACUGGCCCGAUACUGACGCUGAGGCACGAAAGCGUGGGGAGCAAACAG